rnacentral:rRNA from 1 species
AUACGAAGGGUGCAAGCGUUAAUCGGAAUUACUGGGCGUAAAGCGCGCGUAGGCGGCUAGGUAAGUCGGAUGUGAAAGCCCCGGGCUCAACCUGGGAAUUGCAUUCGAAACUGCCUGGCUAGAGUAUGGUAGAGGGAAGCGGAAUUCCACAUGUAGCGGUGAAAUGCGUAGAUAUGUGGAGGAACACCAGUGGCGAAGGCGGCUUCCUGGACCAAUACUGACGCUGAGGUGCGAAAGCGUGGGGAGCAAACAGGAUUAGAAACCCUAGUAGUCC